GUGAGGAAUUUUCCGCAAUGGGCGAAACCCUGACGCAGCGACGCCGCGUGAGUGAUGAAGGCCUUCGGGUCGUAAAGCUCUGUUGCAGGGGAAUAAAAAAAUGAAGGUACCCUGUGAGGAAGGAUCGGCUAACUUCGUGCCAGCAGCCGCGGUAAGACGAGGGAUCCUAGCGUUGCUCGGAAUCAUUGGGCGUAAAGAGGGCGUAGGUGGCUUGGUAAGUCAGGUGUGAAAGCCCAGGGCUCAACCCUGGAAGUGCAUUUGAUACUGCUGAGCUUGAGUGUCGGAGAGGUUACCGGAAUACCUGGUGUAGUGGUGAAAUGCGUAGAUAUCAGGUGGAACACCGGAGGCGAAGGCGGGUAACUGGACGAACACUGACACUGAGGCCCGAAAGCGUGGGGAUCAAACAGGAUUAGAUACCCCAGUAGUCC
rnacentral:rRNA from 1 species